CAGUGGCUCAUGCAUGUAAUCCCAGCACUUUGAGAAGAUGAGGUGGGUAGAUCACUUGAGUCUAGGAGUUCGAGACCAGCCUAGCCAAUAUGUCGAAACCCCAGCUCUACUAAAAAUACAAAAAUUAGCUGGGUGUGGUGGCACAUGCUUGUUCUCCUGCCUCAGCCUUCCAAGUAGCUGUGACUAUAGUUGCAUGCCGCCACACUCAGCUAAUUUUUUGUAUUUUUAGUAGAGAUGGAGUUUCACCAUGUUGCUCACGCUGGUCUCAAACUCGC
rnacentral:lncRNA from 1 species